AUUAUUCACGCUAUUCCAACUAGGAACAAUUCUACCCACAACAUCCACCACAUUAUCAAUAGACAAUCUAGUUUCAAGAAAACCCACUAAGCAUACUUUAUUCUUGCAAACUAACCUGUGGGCUGCUCGCUGCGCAUGAGUGGCUGCAAGCCCUCGUACGUUCAAUGCUAGACACCUCAUUGACGAACAUUAGGGGGAGGAGCCCCCGUCUCGUCCUGGUCUGUUGCCUGUGCCAUGCGGCUCUUGGAUGAUGAUUCCAGUGCCUCUCCUAGUGCCGUCUGCCCUGUGGGUUAGAGUGGGAGUCGGGGAGUGCCCCGAGUGGCCUACAGCCUCUUCAUCCUCCUCCUCCGUUUCCAAAGCCCAAGUCUUCUUAGUAUUCACUUGAGCGGGCUACUUCCCCUCUCGUCUGUUGAUCCUUCAAUCAUCAGGAUCAAGGUCGUCUAGGAUUUGGUAUUUCCCUGACAUGACCUUCUGUUUCUGCGCUUGGGAUAGUUUAGGACCCAUAGCCUUUUUCUUCCCGUUUCAAUUCCUCUUUUUCCUCGGCCUCGUAUUCCUAGCCCCAACGUGCUGGAAUCCCUCCUCGUUGACCGUGUCAUUAGCCCGUGCAGUCUCUGAAAGCUGGUCCAUCCCUUUCUCCCCCUUAUCACCCCUAGCAAGAUCAUCACAAUCACUAACUAGGAGGCUAAAUUUUCUACAAUUUAGUACAAUACGCCAGGAGGCGUUCGUACAAAAUGGUUUGGGAAAAAUUAGCCCCUCAGUAGUUAAACGUGACCUCCCUCGGGAGCUCCUGUGAGACAUCAAUAUCCACUCACACAUGCACAAACGAUACCCUGUCCGCCUUAAUAUAAGUAUCAUCCACCAUGAUAGGUCUACCAACCAGUGAAGCCACCUUACUAAUGUGGUUCUUCGACCACAGCUCCAAUGGGAAUGAAGGCAACCGAAUCUAGACCGGGUCAUGGGAGAUUUCCCGGUCAUCAAAUUGAAAGGCUCGUGGUAGCCUUUCGAGUAUAAGAUAACGUUCUCAUAUGGAAUGGGGCGCACUGUCUAGCACCUUCCGCACAUCCUCCUCCGAGCAAAGCUGAAAGAUGAUCCACCCCGACUGAUGCAUGACGAUGAUUUACUUGACGCCCCAUGCCCGGCAGAUGGCAUGGAGGGCUUGCAUACUUAGGAACCGUCCCGAGAAAUACCCCACCAAUGUGUAUUUCCAAUCAUCAGAAUCAUCCUUCGGAUCAAGGUUACUUUUGUUGAUCCUAAGGGUCGGGGGAAGCUCGACAGACAGCGCGUUCAAUGCGUGCUCCGAAAGGGAAUCGGGUUAAAAUUCCAAAACUGAGACGUGGCGGUUGACGGCAAUGUUAGGGAGUCCAGAGACAUUGGCGGGGGCCUCGGGAAGAGUUAUCUUUUUUGUUUAACAGCCCGCCCACCCUGGAAACGGCUCAGCCAGAGGUAGGGUCCAGCGACUGGAAGAGCACCGCACGUCGCAGGGUGUCUGGUGCACCCCCAGCGGCCCUUGAAAAUCUGGAGGACCGAGUACCGUUCGGGGCCCGGUUGUACUCAUAACCGCAUUAGGUCUCCAAGGUGAACAGCCUCUGGUCGAUGGAAUAAUGUAGGCAAGGGAAGUCGGCAAAAUAGAUCAGUAACCUCGGGAAAAGGAUUGGCUCUAAGGGCAGGGCACGGGGGUCAUAGUCCCGAACCCAUCGCCUAUCGGUAAAUUGCUCGAGCUGCUCGUGCGGUGAGAACGGGUCAUCGCGUGCCGAUCGGAGGAUGAACUGGGAACGGCUUCCUCAGGGGCCGUCCCCAGGCGUCGAACAGUCGACUCAGAACUAGUACGAAAAAGGGGAAUCCGACUGUUUAAUUAAAAUAAAGCAUUGCGAUAGUCCCUGCGGAUGCUCACGUAAUGCGAUUUCUGCCCAAUGCUCUGAAUGUCAAAGUGAAGAAAUUCAACCAAGCGCGGGUAAACUGCGGGAGUAACUAUGGCUCUCUUAAUGUAGCCAAAUACCUCGUCAUCUAAUUAGUGACGCACAUGAAUGGUUUAACGAGAUUCCCACUGUCCAUGUCUACUAUCCAGCAAAACCACAGCAAAGGGAACGGGCUUGGCGGAAUCAGCGGGGAAAGAAGACUCUGUUGAGCUUGACUCUAGUCCAACUUUGUGAAAUGACUUGAGAGGUGUAGGAUAAGUGGGAGCCGAAAGGCGAAAGUGAAAUACCACUACUUUUAAACAUUAUUUUACUUAUUUCGUGAAUCGGAGGAGGGGCAUCGCCCCUCUUUUUGGACCCAAGGCUCGCCCCGGAGGGCCGAUUUGGGUGGAAGACAUUGUUAGGUGGGGAGUUUGGCUGGGGCGGCACAUAUGUUAAAAGAUAACGCAGGUGUCCUAAGAUGAGCUCAACGAGAAUAGAAAUCUUGUGUGGAAAAGAAGGGUAAAAGCUCGUUUGAUUCUGAUUUACUGUACGAAUACGAACCGUGAAAGCGUGGCCUAACGAUCCUUUAGACCUUCGGAAUUUGAAGCUAGAGGUGUUAAAAAAGUUACCAUAGGGAUAACUAGCUUGUGGCAGCCAAGCGUUCAUAGUGACGUUGCUUUUUUAUCCUUCAAUGUCGGCUCUUCCUAUCAUUAUGAAGCAGAAUUCACCAAGUGGUUGAUUGUUCAACCACCAAUAGGGAACGUGAGCUGGGUUUAGACCGUCGUAAGAUAGGUUAGUUUUACCCAACUGAUGAUGGUGUCGCAAUGGUAAUUCAACCUAGUAUGAGAGGAACCGUUGAUUCGCACAAUUGGUCAUCACACCUGGUUGAAAAGCUAGUGGCGCGAAGCUACCGUGCGCUGGAUUAUGACUGAAUGCUUCUAAGUCAAAAUCCCGGGCAAGACGCGAUGCAUGCACCCGCCGUUCGCUCCCCGACCCGCAGUAGGGGCCCCAAGGCCCCCAAGGGCACGUGUCGUUGGCCAAGCCCCCACGGCGGACGAGCCGCGUGGGCCGCCUCAAAGUAAAAUUCCAAUAGAGCAGUGGGUAGAAUCAUUUGCAGAUGACUUAAAUACGCGACCGGGUAUUGUAAGCGGCAGAGUGGCCUUGCUGCCACGAUCCGUUGAGAUUCA
rnacentral:rRNA from 1 species